UCCUUGAUAGCUCAAUGGUGGAGCAAGAAGCUGUUAACUUCGAGGUUGUAGGUUCGAGUCCUGCUCAAGGAGCCA
rnacentral:tRNA from 1 species